UUUUAUAAGAAACUGAUGAGGGCUGGGUGUCUCAUUUGCAUAAGGCACGAAUUUCCGGUAGCUCCACCCCAUCCUCCUAGUGCCCAUGCAGGCCCUUAGCUUAAGUUACUCCAUAUUGCUUUGUUUCCCUGACUGCCCACGUAUCGGGGGACAGAAUUUUCCAUUGCGGGCAUGUCUGGGCAAGUCUCCUGUGCAGCCUUUCUUAUUUGUGCAGCUGUGGGCAUGUCUUAGGCAAGCCCCCCUGUGCAAGUUCCCUUCUUUGUGCCUGCAGGCCGUUCUUUUGUUUGAAAUAAUUCAACUGAGGACCCACCAUAACUGCCCGCCUGACCAGUUUCUUCCUUUUUCCUCUCUCAAUUUGUGUUAUGAUUUCCUUACUGAUCUCUGCCUGAGCAAGACUGGGCACGCCUUGAGGGCAAGGAGGGUUUAUUUCCUCUUAUCUCAGUCCCAGCUCCUCUUAAAACAAUGCCCUGCACACAGUAGGUAUUUGAUAAAUGUUUACCAAAUGAAGGGAUUGCCUGGAAUGGCUUGGCAGACAGGAAAGCAGAAUGAAAACCCACAGGCCAAAAGUGGCUGGGAAAAGAUUUUCCAAAUCCUAGUGAUGGGCACAGGGCCCCCUAAAGUUCACUUUUGGAACCUUCCCAUCUGUCUUGUUCUCCUUUCAUCAGGGACAUCCAUGCCCCUCAAAGCCCCCCUAGUCACACACUACCUUUCAGGACCACCUUCCAGAUCAGCCAGGUGCAAAUCCCACAGACUUCCUGCCUGUGGCUCCAAAUGCUCAGCUGAAAUUCUGAGGCUAAUUUCAGUGGAGUUAGAGGCUUAUCCCUUAGGAGUGGCAAUGGCUGGCUUUAAGAUUCGAGAAGUAGUGUUUACAUCUCAAAAGAGAAGACCGCGCCACCAGAAAUGCAGAAUUUUGGUAUGUGCGGGUCCGGGGUCUUCAGGAGAUAAAGAAUGAUAGCUCCAGGAGCGCUGGGACCCCCGUGCAGCCACCAGUCACCACAGCCUAGGCAGGGGUUGGGCUCUCACCUCGGCCCCUCCCCUGCACGCCCUGGAUGUGGAUGGUCCCCGAGUGUGAACUCGCCUGGGCUCUGACCCUGGGUGCCCUUCCCGCCGUUGUGGAGCCUCUGCGGGUGUGGUGCAUGCACAGGGGGCUUCACAGGAGACCCGGGGCCCUUUAGAGUCUGAAGGCCAACAUUCUUGGAGAAUCCAUGUCAGGCAUUCAGGCUCUCAGGGACUCAGAUGCCCAAACUAUGAAAAUGAGAGAAUCUAUCCCACUCUCUCAGGUGUGGUGAGAUUCAUAUUAUAUGACAAUCGGUCGUCUACACAUUGAUCACACUCUCAGUAUUGCCUUUAUCAGUCGGCCAAUGCCUAAAACCCAAAGACGGGUCAGGCAUGGUGGAGGACGAGUUCCUUUCUUACCUUCUGAAGGUGCCAUCAACAGGAAUUUCUACCCUGUGGAGUCUAGAGGAGACUUUCCUUGAAGCUGAGUUGGGAAUGGACAUUUGGACUUUUUUUUUUUUUUUUUUGAGACAGAGUUUUGCUCUUAUCACCCAGGCUGGAGUGUAGUGGCACGAUUUUGGCUCACUGCAAGCUCUGCGUCUCGAGUUCCAGCGAUUCUCCUGCCUCAGUCUCCUGAGUAGCUGGAAUUACAGACACCCACCACCACAUCCAGCUAAUUUUUUGUAUUUUUAGUAGAGACAGGGUUUCGCUAUGUUGGCCAGGCUGGUCUCGAACUCCUCACCUCGUGAUCUGCCCGCCUCGGCCUCCCAAAGUGCAGGGAUUACAGGCAUGAGCCAAUGCGCCUGGCCAGACGUUUGGACUUCUUUAAAAUUUUAUUUCAAAUUUUUAAAACUUUCUAAUAGGUAUUUUAUCUUCUUAGGAAGUAAAAUCUCAAGUACAGAAAAUAUAAAAAGGUAUAAAGAAGCAGAAGGAUGGAAACUGCCAGUGUCUCCACUGGGAGGAUCGGGAUGAAACGUUGCCUGGCAGAGCCUCAGACUUCAGAGGGAAGGGGCCUGGAGCUGUGCUUUGCAGCUGCCCCUGAGUUUCCACUCCUGGUUUUUGUGCAUGCGGGUGACUGUGCAGGAUGACUUAGUGUCGUCAUGCUUAUGAGUUAUUUUGAAUCUUGCUUUUCAAAACUUUAUUAUCAAUACACAACUUUCUAUCAUAUUACAAAAUCUUCUUACACACAGCUUUCACCAGCUGUAGGCUGUUUCCAAACAGAGGACCUAGCCACUCUUCUUUUGCAUGUUUUUUUCAUUAUUGUAAUUAAUAUCCUUAUACCUAAAGAUCUUUCUAUAUAUUGGAUUUUGUUUUAAAAUCACAGAUUUCUCAAUAAAAGUUACUGGGUCAAAAGGCAUGAAAUUUUUUUUUUUUUUUGAGACGGAAUCUCGCUUUGUCACACAGGAUGGAGUGCAGUGGCGAGAUCUCAGCUCACUGCAACCUCCACCUCCUGGGUUCAAGAGAUUCUCCUUCCUCAACCUCCUAAGUAGCUGGGAUUACAGGCACACGUCACCACACCUGGCUACUUUUUGUAUUUUUAGUAGAGACAGAGUUUCACCAUAUUGGCCAUGCUGGUCUCGAACUCCUGACCUCAUGAU
rnacentral:lncRNA from 1 species